rnacentral:rRNA from 1 species
CCUACGGGAGGCAGCAGUGCGGAAUAUUGGUCAAUGGGCUCGAGCCUGAACCAGCCAAGUCGCGUGAGGGAAGCCGGUCCUAUGGAUUGUAAACCUCUUUUGUCGGGGAGCAAAAGACGCCACGCGUGGCGUUCCGAGAGUACUCGAAGAAAAAGCAUCGGCUAACUCCGUGCCAGCAGCAGCGGUAAUACGGAGGAUGCGAGCGUUAUCCGGAUUUAUUGGGUUGAAAGGGUGCGCAGGCGGAAGAUCAAGUCAGCGGUAAAAUUGAGAGGCUCAACCUCUUCGAGCCGUUGAAACUGGUUUUCUGGAGUGAGCGAGAAGUAUGCGGAAUGCGUGGUGUAGCGGUGAAAUGCAUAGAUAUCACGCAGAACUCCGAUUGCGAAGGCAGCAUACCGGCGCUCAACUGACGCUCAUGCACGAAAGUGUGGGUAUCGAACAGGAUUAGAUACCCUUGUAGUC